rnacentral:lncRNA from 1 species
CAGCUGUGAGAAGCAGUUGGCUGAGGGUAAAGCCCUGAAGAGAUGCCCAGGGGAGUGGCUGGCCCAAGGCACUGCUCAGUGUCUGCUCUGUCAGACCUGCAUCUCCUCCCUGGUUCCCCCAGAUCUGCCACUCCAUCAACCACAAGGCCAAGACAGAGUGCACUCCUGCCACUGGGUGAUGACAAUCCAUGCUCAAGGCUCAAGGAAAAAGUAGAAGAGACUAAGAAAAAUUACUAAGGGAAAGACCUGUGAAUUAAAAAAUUCUCCAAAGGCACAGAAGACUUAAUAUGGCAGGAUAGGAUAAGACUUUGGUGAAACCCAGUUUGGAGGUCAAAGCUUUUCAUUCCUACUUGAAAUAAGGUUGGAGAUUGAACUUCAGGCUUUGGCUUGCUACGCAAGCACCCAAUACUGAGCUACACCCCAGCCCCUUAAAAUCUUGAGCCCCAACAGUAAUCUACUGACGUCAGGCUUGGGUAUACACCAUCCAUGGAUGCAAAGCUGGCCUCAGGGGAGACAUCUCUCAGCUACUAGUUUUGUACCAGAUGGUUGACUGAGUCCCACAAGUCUUGGCCAAAUCUAUCUGGAUACAGACUUGCGGUGGCUUAAAAUACACAACGCUGAAAGUUCCAAAGCCCUGCAACGUUGCAGAAUGCUCUACCUGCCAGCCUCCCGUGCCUGGCCAGGAGCGGGAAGGAGCUGUGGGAGCUUAUCUAGGCUCAAUAUAAUGAACAUUUUAAUGACUACAGAAGGUAACACACAGGGAAAAAGAAUCGAGAAAUGAUACAAACAAAUGCCAGUAUCCUACUUCCUUUCUUUUUGUUUUUCUUUGAGAUGGGAUCUUGAAUGUUGCCUAGGCUGGCCUCAAAGUCCUGGGAUCAAGUGAUCCUCCUGCCUCAACCUCCCAAGAAGCUAGUAUUACAGGCAUGUGCUACUGCACCCCACUGAUUUUCUAUUAAACAUUAUAAAAAUUAAACUGAGGGCCGGAGAUUUAGCUCAGUGGUUCUGCCACCUGCCUCACAAGCGCAAGGACCCAAGUUCGAUCCCGGUACCAAAAAAAAAAAAAAAAAAUUAAACUGAAACUGACAAUUCACAGCACUUCAGUACAUAGAAUAUGUAUUAAAAAGAUGAUCAACUAUUUGG